rnacentral:lncRNA from 1 species
UCCAGGGUGUGCUGUGACUCCACCCCAUGUCUGCAGGAGCCCCGAGGCAUUCGCCCCAGUGAGCUGACAGAUGACACCAUGACUAAGACCUUCAUCUGGGACUUUAUGGCCUGCUAGUAUGUUCAAACCUCUUGAGUUCUUGGCCUCCUGGAUAUGCUAUAAAAAUGGCAUCUACUCUACUUAUCUCUCUGGGGUGUGUUCACAGAAAGCUGGAGCAGGAGUUUGAAAAGGGCGGUGAUGGUGUGGAUGUAAAGUUAUCGUCUCGGCUCCCUAUUGCAUGGGAUUACACAUUAUUGAUGGUGCAAGACAGUCACUCACUCUCAGCCACAGAGACCUCUUGGCAUCCUGUGAAAGGGCAGGGUUUUCUCUUCGAUGUCACAUUAGAAAGUUAGAUGUGUAUCUACCCCAAGCAUACCUUCCUUCCUGAAACAUAAUAUGUAACUUAAUAUCCUAGAGUUUAAAAGGCCCCCAAGGUGCUUUCUAAUGUAUUUACUCCAAGUUAUAAAGUUUCAUGAUUUUUUAAAUUAAUGAAUUUAGUGUGAAAAUUAGGAAAAAAUGUUUCAAAUAAUCAUGAAUUGAGUGUGGACUGUGUGCUGUUUUCCACAUGCAUUUUAUUUUUUUUCUCCACAGCCAAUCCAAGAGAUGAGUGUUAUUACCCACACUGCAAAUGAGGAUUUGCAAAGUCACACUCUUAGUAAAUGGGAGAACAGAUGUCUGCCUAAAAUAAUGAAAAUAUUUUAUCCACUAUGACACAUCGUGCAUCUAACCCCUCACUGGCAGCUUAAUAACUUUACCCUAUAACAAGAGGCAAGCUCAGAAUUGGAGCCAGCCACUUGGGACAUUUCAUCUUAGGACCAGGAUGCAGGACCACUUGAGAAGCCUGUGAAAUACUGAGGGAGACCAAGAGUGCCACAGAUAAAAGGAGUAGUGUACAUGCAAGGACAGAGGGACAGAGGAAAGACAUGCUGGUUUGUGCUAUGUCAACUUGGUUAUACAAAAACCCUGUGUUCCAGAUUCCCAUUCCCUGCAUGGUCUUGAGGUGUCUUGAGCACAGAUGAACUGAUGUGAACUUUGGAAGGCAGCAGUGAACUCCCAGCCGUCAUUAUCUGGAGGCUGUGAGGACUCGCACAUGCUUGCCAUGAGCUUCCUUUUAUGGUCUCACUUUGGCGAUGACACGCUUGUGGCUUCACAGCUUCACCAAGUCCCUUAGUCACCCAAUCUCUCCUGGACCUUCACUUCCCAGCUUCUUCCACAAUUGUGUGAGAUUUAAUUCCCCUAUGAAAUACCCAAUCCCAGGCUGGGCUUGGUGGCUCAAGCCUGUAAUCCCAGCACUUGGGGAGGCUGAGGCUGGUGGAUCACCUGAAGUCAGGAAUUUGAGACCAGCUUGGCCAACAUGGUGAAACCCCGUGUCUACUAAAAAUACAAAAAUUAGCCAGGUCUGGUGGCAGGUGCCUGUGAUCCCAGCUACUCAGGAGGCCAAGAAGGAGAAUGCUUUGAACCUGGGAGGGGGAGGUUGCAGUAAGCCGAGAUUGGGCCACUGGACUCCAGCCUGGGUGACAGAGCAAGACUCCAUCUCAAAAAAUAAAUAAAUGAAUGAAUAAAUAAAUACCCAAUCCCAUAAUUUUAUAUGGUUGUACCUUUCUGGUUGAGCCCUGACAAGUACUGGAUGUGACGAGGGGACUAGAUGUCUCAUUUCAAUUCACCAUCAUGAGAACCAACUCAACAAAACCUUCCCAUGGAAGGCUCUCACUUAGCACUGGAAACAAUGAUCAACUGGAAAUUGAGUUCCCAGGUGGCAGUGGACAGGAGUGGGAGUUUUCAUUCAUUAGUUCAUUGAUUCAACAUAUGUGUAGAUAACUCCCCAAAUGUGCCAGGUACCCUAGGCAGUGAAGAUACUCUUAAGCCGAAACAGGCUUACCAUCUAAUUCAUUAUCCAAACCAGAUCUGUUUGAGAGUGAGAGGGGAGACUAUUAAUAAAUAUACCAGAAAACCAGGCAUAAAAUGGGGCUGUACUAGACCCACCAGGAUACAGAUAAAAAGAUUCCUGGUUCUGGUCCUCAUGGUACUAACAGUCAGUAUGAAAGACAUCCUUUACUUUAAAAAUUAUUUCACGAAUAAAUGUACACUGACAAGGAUGAGAAGGGCUAACUAGAAUGGAGCUGAGAUAACACAUCACAGGAUGAUUGACCUGCUCCAGGAAGUUAGGAAAGGGUGCUGACUGCACUGAGAUCCCGGGCAGGGUUUCUCCCUCUCUGUCUUGGUCUUGAUCUCGAUUUGUUUUUCUGUGUUUUUGACUGGUGAAACUUACACAAACACUGGUAGAAAUGGGGCCAGCCAGGAUUGCUGAGUGAGCAGGUCACUUACGUGGGGAGUUUGUGGGCAGGCAAAGACCAUGUGAAAGUGUAAAAGUCAGACGUUCAUGAGUUGGGCUGUGCCCACCCUGGAAGAUGACCCUUGCCCUUGGAAGCUAAUCUGGUUCAGGGAAACAAGUCUUGACCUUGGUGGGAGACAGCCUUUUCCAUAUAUUGAAUUUUAAUCUUUAUCCUUUUGCUUUUAGAUCACAGAUUUUGGUCUAAACAUUGGGCUCACUCUUCACUAGCUGUUGGACAAGUUAUUUACUCCCAUUUGCUCCCUUUUAGCCUGAAUUCUCAUCUGUGAAAUGUUUAUCAAACUAGUAACACACCUCAUAGGAUUGUUUUAGUGAUAAAAUAAGGCUAAGAAUGUAAAUGCUUAGACAAUGCUUGGCACAGAACACCCUUCAUAUAAAUGGUACUUCUUGUCAUUGUGUUUAUGAGUGUAAUUAUUAUUAUUAUUGGGUCAUAAAACUCCUCAGUGAAACAUGUGGGAUAUUCUUUCAUAUAGUUGUUCCUUGAAGAACAAAGAUAAAUCACAGUUAAAAUGCUUCCAGGUUUCCUUCAUUUAUUCCCUUAUAAAUCUAAAACAUGAUUAUUAUCAAAAUGUUUAAAACAUUGCAAAAAUGAAAAAAAUAAAUUGUAUAUGUUUCUACAACUUAGAGAUAUAUGCUGUCAACACUUUGAUUUAUUUUCUUUCCAUAUUGUGCUGUGAAUAUUUAUGUGGUUGUGUUAAAUUAUAUAACGUAUUGUAUAUGCUGAAUUUUUCAAGUUUUCAGAUUUAAAAAUUAUAAAUGUUCAUUAUAGAAACAUUAGAAAUGCUUACAAAAUCCAUACUCAAAGCCUUGAAAGUACACAUCUGUUAACAUUUUGAGUUUAUUUUCU